UACGGAGGAUCCAAGCGUUAUCCGGAAUCAUUGGGUUUAAAGGGUCCGUAGGCGGUUUUGUAAGUCAGUGGUGAAAGCCCAUCGCUCAACGGUGGAACGGCCAUUGAUACUGCAAGACUUGAAUUAUUAGGAAGUAACUAGAAUAUGUAGUGUAGCGGUGAAAUGCUUAGAUAUUACAUGGAAUACCAAUCGCGAAGGCAGGUUACUACUAAUGGAUUGACGCUGAUGGACGAAAGCGUGGGGAGCGAACAGG
rnacentral:rRNA from 1 species